rfam:Saccharomyces cerevisiae AWRI796 chromosome II, whole genome shotgun sequence.
UAAAUAUACAACACCCAGUAUUUUUUGGCUGCCCGUGUCUUUCUCUACCACGGGUAGUCUCUCUAAGCUGGCAGAUAGAUGUUUAUUGAACCGCUUAAGUUCCGUUGUGAAGUUUUCGUCUUUCAGGCUGUAUUUCAUAACACUACUGUAGUUCACACAUAC